UGUUCACUUCAUAUACAUAUUGAAAAUGAUUUUGAGACAUUUAAUUGCAAAACUUCAGGAUGCAUUAGAUAAGCUUAGGUCAAUAAAGCUGCCAUCAAAUGCACUAAUAAUUGGCAAUUGUGUUUUUAGGACAUAUUGCUACAGACUAAUUAACAUUCGUAAUGUCCUGUUUUUUUGAAAAUGUAUUACUUUGUCUUACAGGACGUGGUGUAUUUGCCCUAUCUUCAUUCUUCAAAGGAGAUUUUGUACUGGAAUACAGAGGAGACAUGAUAGAUGAUGCAGAAUCUCAAUGGAGAAGGUGCAUUUAUCACUCAUCAUGUGUUGCAUUCAUGCUUCAUUCAAGUGGAGAGGGAGAACAUGGUGAUGACCAUGAAUGCAGCUGAUGCUGUCAUUCCUGUGGAAAGCUCCCACCAUGCUGUCUUGUUAGAGACGCAGAUGACUGAAACUUUGAGUCCAUGAGACACUAAUCAACAGAUGACCAUGAAUGCAGCUGAUGCUGUCAUUCCUGUGGAAAGCUCCCACCAUGCUGUCUUGUUAGAGACGCAGAUGAUUGAAACUUUGAGUCCAUGAGACACUAAUCAACAG